AUUGAACGCUGGCGGCAUGCCUUACACAUGCAAGUCGAACGAGUGGCGGACGGGUGAGUAAUGUCUGGGAAACUGCCGAAUGAAGGGGGAUAACUGUGGGAAAGGGUAGCUAAUACCGCAUACCAUUCGAGGGGCCCAGAUGGGAUUAGCUUGUUGGUGGGGUAACGGCCCACCAAGGCGACGAUCCCUCGCUGGUCUGAGAGGAUGACCAUCCAAACGGGAACUGAGACACGGUCCAGACUCCUACGGGAGGCAGCAGUGGGGAAUAUUGCAAAAGGGGCGCAAGCCUGAUGCAGCCAUGCCGCGUGUAUGAAGAAGGCCUUCGGGUUGUAAAGUACUUUCGGCAGGGAGGCGGUACCCGAAGAAGAAGCACCGGCUAACUCCGUGCCAGCAGCCGCGGUAAUUC
rnacentral:rRNA from 1 species